GCGCAUGCGCGGGGCGAGAGGCCCUCCUGGAUCACCUCCUCCUCACGCCGGCGUGACAUCGGAAAGCUGCUAUCUCUUCAGAGGGAGAUGGAUUUCGAGAAUCUGUUUUCCAAGCCCCCCAACCCGGCCCUCGGCAAAACAGCAGCCGCGGACUCUGACGAAAGAAUCGAUGAUGAAAUAGAUGAUACAGAAGUUGAAGAAACACAAGAAGAGAAAAUAAAAUGGGAAGUAAAACUGGAGUGUGAGCAAAUUCCCAAAAAAUGUAGGCACUUCAGAAACUCUACAUCAUCGAAGAAUUUGACACAUAGAAAAUCAAGAAGUAAGGACUAUGAUGUAUAUAGUGAUAAUGAUGUCUACAAUCAGGAACCAGAAGAUAAUUUUGCUAAAGAGCUUCAACAGUAUAUGCAAGCUAAGGAAAUGGCAAAUGCUGCUCAAUCCUUACCAUUUCCUGAAGAAUCUAUGAAAAAAGAGGGAGUGAAGGAUACCCAGAAAGCUGUUAAACGAAAAAAAAAAAAUCUUAAAGCUGUUCAUAAGAAUGGUAAACAGAAGAAAAUGAAAAGAAAAUGGCCUGGCACUGGAGACAAAGGAUCAAAUGCUUCACUGAAGCACAGUGGCUCACAGGAACAGGAUGGUAAACCUAAAGAGAAGCAGCAUGUGAGAAUGAGUCAGGGAUUCAUCAACCAACACACAGUGGAACGCAACGGAAAGCAAAUUUGUAAAUAUUUUCUCGAAAGAAAAUGUAUUAAGGGAGACCAGUGUAAAUUUGAUCAUGAUGCAGAGAUAGAGAAGAAGAAGGAAAUGUGUAAAUUUUAUGUACAAGGAUAUUGUACCAGAGGUGAAAACUGCCUGUAUUUGCAUAAUGAAUAUCCUUGCAAGUUUUAUCAUACAGGAGCAAAAUGUUACCAGGGAGAAUAUUGCAAAUUUUCACAUGCUCCACUGACUGCUGAAACACAAGAACUCUUGGCUAAAGUUUUGGAUACUGAAAAAAAGUCAUGAAAAUAAAAAGGUCCCAGAGAACCACUAGUAUUCUUUCAGUAAGGAUAGAUUUGUUUUACCAGUUCUAAAAUUUCGUUUUUGUGUCGGUGAAGAAUGCUUGUGUCUGUGCCUGUUCAAGACUGUUAAUUUGGAGUGGUUUACAAGUUCCUCAUUUAAAGUGCCCUCUUGUGUCCUAAGGAUGAUGUGCAAAUCCUUUAAUGGAUGGUGCUGGGGGACAGAAUCUAGUGUAUGACUGAAGGGGUUGAUCUUCAAGCGAGAUGGUCCAGCCAUUGCAGUGGGAGAGAAGCACAUGUAGCAGAGAUGCUGGCUGGCGGGUAAACGUGAUGAAUUGCAGAAGUCUUUUUUGAUGAGUUCUCUCUAUAAAAUUGGAAGCAGAGUUAGGCUGAGAAGAUAGAAGAAGAGGUGAGGAGAUUUGAAGAGAGACAAUUGUUAGAUUUCUCUAGGAAGAUUUUGGGAUAAUAGAUGAUGAAUAUACAGUUAUAUCUUUUCAUGUCAUUAAAUACAUUCAGAACAUAUUUUUAACAGUUGCUCACAAUUUUAUUUUGUGGCUGAAAUGAUGGUUCUGUGAUUUCUAGCCAGUUUCCUGUUGUUGGACAUUUAAAUUGUUUCCAAUUUCUUACUAUUAUAAAUAAAAUGGAAUAAUGUCUCUUGCUAUACCACUCCUAAA